rnacentral:rRNA from 1 species
GAUCCUGGCUCAGGAUGAACGCUGGCGGCGUGCUUAACACAUGCAAGUCGAACGAAGCACUCUAUUUGAUUUUCUUCGGAAAUGAAGAUUUUGUGACUGAGUGGCGGACGGGUGAGUAACGCGUGGGUAACCUGCCUUACACAGGGGGAUAGCAGUUGGAAACGACUGGUAAUACCGCAUACCUUACAUUAUUCGCAUGUUUGAUGUAAGAAAGAUUUUAUCGGUGUAAGAUGGACCCGCGU